GAAAUGCGAUAAGUAAUGUGAAUUGCAGAAUUCCGUGAAUCAUCGGAUCUUUGAACGCACAUUGCGCCCUCUGGCAUUCCGGGGGGCAUGCCUGUCCGAGCGUCAUUACGCACCCUCAAGCCCGGCUGGUGUGAUGGGCCCUGGCGUCUCGUUCGCGAGACGGGCCCGAAAGGCAGCGGCGGCGUCGACCCGAUGAGCCCGAGCGUAUGGGGACUUUUGUCACACGUUUGCGGUGCGGACCGGCGCCUGCUUGACUUUUCUGAUUAUCCAGGUUGACCUCGGAUCAGGUAGGGAUACCCGCUGAACUUAAGC
rnacentral:misc_RNA from 1 species